AGGGUUCUAUCUAAUGGGUGCUACCUAAUCGGAACAAGAAUUGACGAAUGGAGCAAGGAGAAGUGUUAGGGAUAAGGGUAGAUGGCGAUGCAUGAAGCAAUCGACUUACAAGGUUGAUGGCGAUGCAUAAAGCAAUCGACUUACAAAAGGGUGGAUGAAUACGUGCUGGUUCUGUUAGGUUUUGAAAAAUGAUUACUCGACGUUGGAUCGAGGUUUUGGUCUUGUUUUGAAAUGGUUAUCGGGUGUUCAUUUUAUUUCUUGUAUUAACAGAUGAAUAAAGAAUGAAAAAAUAUUAUACAUUUCAUGGGAGAGGGAUACAUUUGUUAUGAAUGGGGGUUGUCAUGGCAAUCAAACAAUAUAAAUAUAUGCCUCAUACAUCAUACAAGUAGGCAACAAUCAAACAAUAAGAUAUUUAAACAAGUAUAUGAUCAAAUCAAAUAAUCAAAGAAAUGAAAUGAAUGAGCAUUAAACAACGUAUGGGUGUAAGUGUAAGGGAACCGGCUCAUUGUAAGAAAGCCCAAGAGUAAGCUAUGUGAGGUUGAUGGCGAUGCUUAAAAAGCAAUCGACUUACAAGGGGCGUAAAAAAUGGGCUCGAUAUUAAAUCGAGAAAAGUGUGAUUUUUAUAGUUUGAAAAAAAUGGUUUUUGAACUAAAUUCAAAUACAAUAACUACGCAUUAUUAACACAUGAAAUUAUAAUAAGCAUAAAAAGAGAUAUUAACAAAAUACUAAAAGAAAAAAAAAAAUGCUAAAGGAAAAUAAAAUCAAAUAAAAAGCAAAAAGUGUCACACAUGAGUAUUGAACCCUCCCCACCUAAUAUUAUGCAACUGCCCUCUCUCCACUAGGCCACUCAACAAUAUCUGCUAUUAAGAUACUACCCAAAAUAUAUGAACUGGAAUAAAAGUUUAAAAUAAAACAAAACAAAGAUUUCGUGGUUUUUAUAUUAUUUCUGUAAAAAAACAAAUUUAAUUUUAAAAAAAUAAUUAAUUAAUUAAAAAAAACAGAAAGGAAAUGGAGAGUGAAGGCACAGAAGCUCGUCUUCUCCAAUCUCCCAGCACGUUCCUCUCUCUAGAGACAUUCAUCUCCCUCCACACUCGAAACAGAAACAAACUCAACAGAAAGAAAACCAGACAAUAUUCCUAACCCAAUACUCGUUUCAUCCUAUCAUCUUCUUCUCAACAAAGACCAAAACGUACUGACAACAAACAACUAGGAAAAACGCUGAACCUUUCCUAGAGCAAAAUCAAAAGAUGCAAACAAAAGGUCACAUGUUAUGAGGAUGUCGAGAGAAA
rnacentral:lncRNA from 1 species